rnacentral:lncRNA from 1 species
UUUGCCUCCUCUUUUGCCAGUGCCGCAUCCCACGUCAGGUGAAGAAACUCCUGGGCGGUCGAUUCCACGUGCUGCUCAGUCCUCCCCAGAACGUAGCGCAUGGGUCCCAGGAUCUCUGGGACCUUACGCCGGCACCAGGGGGUUCCUGGAAGGGAGCACAGACCAUCUGACCGGCCUGGGACGCGGGUAAGACCCCAUCAGCAGGGAGAAGGCUCUUCCCAGCGGUGGUGUGCUGCGGUUUGUUCGGAUGCUGCCUACGCAAGGCGUGUGGUGACCCCAGCGCUGUAGUCAGCAAGUUUCCAAAGUCUCAGGCUAGUAGUGGAAGAGCUGACUGAGGCGCAGGCACCUGCACGGAUCGGCCUUGCCCCUGCACGUCUGCUGCUUUCCCAAGAAGCACUAGCAGCCUUGUGACCAGCGACAGUGAGUCCUGAUGUGGUUUUGGGGAGUUAUUGCUUGGAUAAUGUCCUUGUUCCUUAACCUACAGCGCGUAAUUCUGAAUUCGGCUGGAAAGAGACCUUCCAAAACGGCAGUCUUCCUCACUCCAAGAAGCUGCGUUUUAUGAACCUUCCUCAGACGGAUCUCCGGGGUGAAGUCAUCAGCAACAGGACUGCUGGCUCUCUUUAGAACCACCAGCCAACCAAAGUCCAUUCCCUUCCACGGAGCCCAGCACAGCAGGUCUUGGAAAGGCUGGUGGCACCGCUGGGCUUUGGGUUCUCGCUUGUGCGAGUCGAGACGUCACAGAAGCGUGUUCCCCUGUGCGCGGCAGUGCAGCCGCCCGCGUUAGCGAGCCUGCCUGUCCUUCUGGUCACCCGAUGAUGGGCUGCAGCGCUGGACUCUGUCUUUAUUUUUAAUGUUUUAUUUUUAAGUA